CCAGUGCCUGGCUUAACUCUUUUCUUUUUAAAUAUAUUUCUCAGUAUCUACUUUUACAAAAUGUUUCCAAAGAAAUUGUAACAAAGUCAUCCCAGAGACCAAAAUUCCAGUUGUCUUCACCAUCCAUGUACAGCGACAAGCACAUGAUACUACUGAAGCUGUCUUGAAAGGCUCAAUUGAAAAGGCACAUAAAACUAAGGAUGAUAUGCUUGAGGGGUUGCUGCUCAGUGAAAUGGUAAGGCACCAUUUCUUUGUCUGAAAUAGGAAUCUUGAUUUCUUUAUUUGUCUCUACUAAACUAAUAUCUGUAAUUAAAACAUGAGCCAGGAAAACCAGUUUAUGUCUGUAACCCUAGCUGUUCAGGAACCUGAGAUGAGAAAGAGAAUGUUCCUAGGCCAUCUUAUGCAAAAACUUCAUGAAAUCAUCUGAACCCAUGAACAGUUGGCUGUGGUGAUAUGUGCCUGUUUUGUCUGCUACAUGAGAAGCAUAAUAUAAGCAAAUAUAACUCACUUGUGAGGCAGCACUAAGCCUGAGUUCAAACCUGAGGACAACCAAGAUGAACAAUACAAACAAUAAAAACUUGAAAUAUACUCUAUAGGCAUUAGAUUUUUUUUUUCUGGAGUAGUGGAGGAGUCAAUAUUUACAAAGGACAUUGGCAACGGCAGUGUAAUGUUAUAGACCUUAUGCUUGGA